GAUGAAGAACGCAGUGAAAUGCGAUAAGUAAUGUGAAUUGCAGAAUUCAGUGAAUCAUCGAAUCUUUGAACGCACAUUGCGCCCGCCAGUAUUCUGGCGGGCAUGCCUGUCCGAGCGUCAUUUCAACCAUCAAGCCCCGGGCUUGUGUUGGGGACCUGCGUCCGACGCAGGCCCUGAAAACCAGUGGCGGGCUCGCUGUCCACACCGAGCGUAGUAACUAACCUCGCUAUGGAGUGGCGCGGGCGCCUGCCGUAAAACCCCCAAUUUCACAAGGUUGACCUCGGAUCAGGUAGGAAUACCCGCUGAACUUAAGCAUAUCAUAAGCGGAGGA
rnacentral:misc_RNA from 1 species